UGGCUCAGACAGUAAAGCGUCUGCUUGCAAUGCAGGAAACCCAGGUUCGAUCCCUGG
rnacentral:tRNA from 1 species